ensembl:lncRNA
GUCCUUUGGAUCUCUGACAAGCCAUUCUUUGUAAUCUUCUUUGUGUUUCCUUUCCUAUGGAUUCCCUUGCCGCAAAGUUCACCUCCCUCUCCUGCAAAGGCCUUUCCCAGUUGGAGUAUGCAGUUGCAUUCAGCCAGCUCGGUGUGGUUACAGCGUGUGACGAUGUUGUGCUCGAUGUUCUGGAUCAGAGCUAAUUACUACCGCCCUGUAGACCUCCCAGACAACAACGGACUGAGCUGGAGGGAAGCAAUCAUCCAGUGUCUGGAGAGUGUCUACGUCCGAUCCAGAGGACAGCCAAACCCAGAGCCCAGCCCACCAUCUCUAUCACUCCUGUUCCUGUUCACUUCCUCGCCACCAUAUCCCAGCAGACCACUAGCUCCACCGGGCUACCUCGUCCCUCCUGCUCUGCCUUGGUCUGGUGUUGACCAUCCUGUGCCUUGGGACUCAACUCCUCCGGCUUCUCCUCGUCCCACUGGCUCCGUCAGGCUUCUUCAGCCCCUUGGUUCCACCUCAGUCCUCUGUCACUCCGGCUCCACUGCGGCCUUUCAGAUCCAUGCCUCUGUGUCAGUUGCCGGUGCCAUCUGCUCCGCCUUGGUCCUCUGGAUCCUCCCCAUUGCCCUGGAUUCAUCGGCUAUUUGUCUCUGUCUCGGGUUCCUCCGCCACCUGCUCCGUCGCCGUUGGUCGGCUCCCUGGAGUCAUCAGCCCGUCAACAUUAUGGCUGUGGCCUGGGUACUACCUGUCACUGCAUGCUCCAAGUCCCUCCUACCAUCUCCCUGGCUCCUCCUCCCUGAGGGGAGUAAUGUCAGUAUUAUGGAAUGUCUUUGUUGUGUUUUGCUCCCCAUGUGCUCCCCGUGACCCAGUUUCAUCCUCAUGUAACCUUAUUUGGUUGUUCCUGUUCCUGACCUCCUUGUUUCUUAAUUAGUCAUUCUGUUCACAUGGGUUCCUCCCAAUUGCCUUGUUAAGUCAUGUAUUUAGUUCCAGUCUGUGCGUUCCUCCUUUGUCUCCUUUGUUCCUGGGUCUACCAGCUGUGUACAUGUGUCUUCCUUCCCUACCAAGUGUGGAUUUACCC